GACGAACGCUGGCGGCGUGCUUAACACAUGCAAGUCGAACGAAGUGGCGAACGGGUGAGUAACGCGUAAUCAACCUGCCCUUCAGAGGGGGACAACAGUUGGAAACGACUGCUAAUACCGCAUACUGAAGGAGGGGAUUGCGUCGGAUUAGCUAGUUGGAGGGGUAACGGCCCACCAAGGCGAUGAUCAGUAGCCGGGCUGGUGGGAUGAACGGCCAAAGUGGGACGUGGACACGACCCAGACUCCUACGGGAGGCAGCAGUGGGGAAUCUUCCGCAAUUGACGAGAGUCUGACGGAGCGACGCCGCGUGAGUGAGGACGGCCUUCGGGUUGUAAAGCUCUGUUAAUCGGGACGCGGUACCGGAAUAGAAAGCCACGGCUAACUACGUGCCAGCCGCCGCGGUAAUUC
rnacentral:rRNA from 1 species